rfam:Nematostella vectensis strain CH2 x CH6 NEMVEscaffold_369_Cont25274, whole genome shotgun sequence.
GCCUCGUUAGCGCAGUAGGCAGCGCGUCAGUCUCAUAAUCAAAUGAAGAAAUCUUAAGAGCGUGAGUUCGAUCCUCACACGGGGCA